rnacentral:lncRNA from 1 species
AUGCUCUGCGGAUUUACCCCAACCCCAAAUUCUUGUUCCUCUUUUCCUUCAAAUUUUACUCUCUCCUCUCUUAAUUUUCUUGAUACCCAGAAACCAUACAACGGCUUCUGUGUUGGUACAGUAGUCGUCCGUUCUUCUGCAAAUGCUGUCCAAUAUCAGGUCAAGUCUAGGCCCUACUGUUUCUCUAGUGCCCAUUUUUUAUCCCUCUGGCCACGCAGACCAGUACCACUUUGCCCUCUCCAUUCUUUAGUUUCGUUUGCAUGCUGAUGAUUUCUGGUAACAGUGGCACAUUCUUUUACAAUUAUAUUAAUAUUGUAAAAAUAUUGGUAAAUUAAAUCCAGUGACGUUUUGGCGUCAAAUUACUUUCUCUCAUUUGCAUUUCCAUCCAUACAAAUUAGAGUUAUCUAUAACAUUAACAUAUGAAUUUUAUUUACUGAAGAGCAGGUCACGUCAUGUGGGUUCCGUACUUGAAUAAUUAGCUGGAGAAAAAGCAAGGGUCGACCAUGGUGAAGAUAACAU